rnacentral:rRNA from 1 species
GCUGGCGGCGUGCCAAACACAUGCAAGUCGAACGGUCUCUUCGGAGAUAGUGGCGGACGGGUGAGUAACGCGUGAGAAUCUACCUUUAGGUUCGGGACAACAGUUGGAAACGGCUGCUAAUACCGAAUGUGUCGCAAGAUGAAAGAUUAAUUGCCUGAAGAUGAGCUCGCGUCUGAUUAGCUAGUUGGUGGGGUAAAAGCUUACCAAGGCGACGAUCAGUAGCUGGUCUGAGAGGAUGAUCAGCCACACUGGGACUGAGACACGGCCCAGACUCCUACGGGAGGCAGCAGUGGGGAAUUUUCCGCAAUGGGCGAAAGCCUGACGGAGCAACGCCGUGUGAGGGAGGAAGGCUCUUGGGUUGUAAACCUCUUUUCUCAAGGAAGAUAAUGACGGUACUUGAGGAAUCAGCAUCGGCUAACUCCGUGCCAGCAGCCGCGGUAAUACGGAGGAUGCAAGCGUUAUCCGGAAUAAUUGGGCGUAAAGCGUUCGUAGGUGGUGAUGUAAGUCUGCUGUUAAAGCGUGUAGCUUAACUACAUAUAGGCGGUGGAAACUACAUGACUAGAGUGCGUUCGGGGCAGAGGGAAUUCCUGGUGUAGCGGUGAAAUGCGUAGAUAUCAGGAAGAACACCGGUGGCGAAGGCGCUCUGCUAGGCCGUAACUGACACUGA